rfam:Myotis brandtii contig255474, whole genome shotgun sequence.
GCCAGCAUGGCUCAGUGGUUGAGUGUCAACCUAUAAACCAGGAGGUCCUGGUUCAAUUCCAGGUCAGGGCA